UUCACUGAUGAGCAAGAGGGGCUGUGUGGCUGCUGCAGCAAGAUGAACUCUGACCAGGAAGGGCCUGAUGAGCCGAAGUUUAAAUGAUGAGCCAAAAUUCCUCCCUAUGAUCUCCUGUUCUGCUCUGCUUUGGUCUCACGCUGAGGUGUCAGAACAGCAGAGGCACAAGGCUGCUGACCACUCUGGAAGCCGUAAUUCAUCCUUCUCAGCCAGGCAGCAUUCCUGUCCCAUUCAUCUAUGACUUCCCAACGCAUGCUUCUACAGCAUUAUCCCAUUCCAGCUGUCCAAGCUGGAAAGAAAAAAAACUGGAAGAGUGAAGGAAAGGCUGAUGAACUGCAGCUUCUUACAAAAUUGGCCACCUGGUGGUUUAUCAGAAUUCAGUCCCCCACCAGCAGAGCAUGUGUGUGGUUUGGAUAUAAGAAUGAAACAAUUCACAUGGUGGAGCCCAAGCUCAGAGAGCCAGAAGAUGCAGCAGAGCCCUUACAGCCUGGCUAUGUGGGACCUCUCUCUGGGACAGGGAGACCCUAGAUGAGCACC